GCCCCCGUUGUCUAAUGGCUAUGACGUCAGACUUCUAGGGCAUUCCCUUCAUCUGGAGGUUGCGGGUUCGAGUCCCGCCGGGGGUA
rfam:Grifola frondosa strain 9006-11 000013F, whole genome shotgun sequence.